rnacentral:rRNA from 1 species
AUGGUGAUGAAGAGAGCCAAGUGCUUUCUUUUCCCCGGCUUCCCAUACUUGCGCCUACUCAUCAUGGCUAGCUGUCUUCCUCAUGUCACCUCCCUUAGCUUCAGCUACAACUUCUCCGGUGCCGGCGUCCUGGCCGGCGCCGACCUCAAGUACAUGAACGACUCCGCCCCCGCCCCCACCCUCAACCGGAUCGACCUGACCAACCACUCGAGGAAGUGGAGCACCGGCCGCGUAGCCCACGGGCAGGCGGUGCGUCUCUGGGACGACAGCGCUGGCAAGGUCGCCAGCUUCACCACCAACUUCGCCUUCGCCAUCAAGCCCGCCAACGAUAACAGCGCGAGAGGUGAUGGCAUGGCGUUCUUCGUGGGGCCUUACCCGCCGAGCAUGCCCAAGGACGCGACGGGCGGGUACCUCGCGCUGUUCAACAACCGCGACAACCCGGCCAACACCGACUUCCCGCCGAUCGUCGGCGUGGAGUUCGACACGUACAGGAACCUCGGCUGGGACCCCACCGACACCAACUGCCACAUCGGCGUCAACGUCAACAGCAUCAGGUCCAUGGAGUACACGGCGCUGCCGGACGGCAUCUAUAACGGGAUCAUGUCGGCGAAGGUGAGCUACGACGCCCAAACGGCCACGCUCUCGGCCACUCUGCGGUUCGACGACCCGCCAGGGUAG